rnacentral:lncRNA from 1 species
UGAAGUUGCUCUCGAGGACCGGUCUCUGGAGGUGAGAGACCGGUCCCAUCAGCCGAAGGCUGUGGGGUUGCUGAUGCAACCGGUCCCUGGCAGAGGAGGGACCGGUCCCAGCCUGCCACAUCAGUGAGAAGAGCCGAAAAUCGGCUAAGUCCCGAAAGUAUAGCUCUCGGGAACCGGUCUCUCUGAGAGGAACCGGUCUCCCGAGAACCGGUCUCUCAGGGAGGGACCGGUUCCCGAACGCGUGUCCGCGGGGGAAGGCCCCGGGGACCGGUCCCAGGUCGGGGAGACCGGUCCCUCCGCGCGCAGGAUGCCCAGAGAGGGCUGUGUAAGAGACGAAAAGUUGAGGGGCCUUUAGGGAUAUUGUUACAAUAUGUGAGAGGGUAUUAGAGAGGG